GAUGAACGCUGGCGGCGUGCCUAAUACAUGCAAGUCGAGCGAACAGACGAGGGGCUUGCUCCUCUGACGUUAGCGGCGGACGGGUGAGUAACACGUGGAUAACCUACCUAUAAGACUGGGAUAACUUCGGGAAACCGGAGCUAAUACCGGAUAAUAUAUUGAACCGCAUGGUUCAAUAGUGAAAGACGGUUUUGCUGUCACUUAUAGAUGGAUCCGCGCCGCAUUAGCUAGUUGGUAAGGUAACGGCUUACCAAGGCAACGAUGCGUAGCCGACCUGAGAGGGUGAUCGGCCACACUGGAACUGAGACACGGUCCAGACUCCUAUGGGAGGCAGCAGUAGGGAAUCUUCCGCAAUGGGCGAAAGCUUGACGGAGCAACGCCGCGUGAGUGAUGAAGGUCUUCGGAUCGUAAAACUCUGUUAUUAGGGAAGAACAAAUGUGUAAGUAACUAUGCACGUCUUGACGGUACCUAAUCAGAAAGCCACGGCUAACUACGUG
rnacentral:rRNA from 1 species